GCAAGGUAGGAGGCUAUGGAUUCUGAAUCAAAGAACAGUUUCAUAGGAAGCUUUCUUCAGCCACCAGAUAAGAUGCUUCCUGCAGCCUUUGCUUAUAUAGAAUCAAAGACGUUGGCAGCUGUGGGUGGUGACAGGCCUUCUAUCCCCAAUAACCAAGCUGUGGUGGCAGCCCUGAAAACUCUUCAAGAAAAGAUCCGCCGUCUAGAGUUGGAGAAGUCACAGGCUGAAGAUAAUCUGUGCAGCCUCUCCAUAGCAGCUGCUCAGUAUAAGAAGGCCUUAGAGCAUGAAUCCUGCAAAAAGGACACAGCACAUCAAGAACUGAUGCAACAGAGGAAAGAUGUAAGUGUGCAGUUAAAUGCAGCACAAUCUCGCUGCUCCCUGCUGGAGAAACAGCUGGAUUACAUGAGGAAAAUGGUUGCCAGUGCAGAACUGGAAAAGAAAGUGGUUUUAGAACAACAGGCCCAGGUUCAGAAAGAGGAAGAUCAGAACCGGUUAGAACUGCAUGCAAAACUUGAAAAGCUUGAAAUGCUAGAAAAAGAGUGUCUUAAACUUACUGCUACUCAGAGAAUUGCAGAAGACAAGAUCAAACACUUAGAAGAAAAGCUUUGUAAAGAAGAGCAUCAGCGUAAGCUAAUACAAGACAAAACUGCUCAGCUUCAAACAGGAUUUGAGAUAAACAGAAUUUUGAUGUCUUCAGUAACAUCUCAAAAAGAACCUAAAAAGGAAAACGGGAAGAAGAAAAAAACUAAGAAGAGAAAUCCUGCAAUGAAGAAAGUGCACAUUUCACAAUUACGUGUAAAGGCUGGUGAACUACCUUUUGUGGCUGGGAAGUCUGUCAGUUCCAGCCAUUCUGUUAGUGCAAACGUACAAAGUGUGUUGCAUAUUAUGAAGCAUCGCAAUCCACGUAUCUCAUCACAAAGCCAAGGAGGAGCUACAUCUGGGAUUUCAGGACGCAGUGCACUUUCAAAAUCUGUAUCCUCUUGUUCCACAUCACCAACUGCCACCAGAAGUCUUUCGGACCUUUUGUUAGCCAUACAAGAUGAGCUGGGCCAAAUGAGCUUUGUGCAUCAAGAACUUCUGAAGCAGAUGCAGGAGACUCAAGACUCCAAAGUUCGUGAAUACCUGGAACAGGAGCUGGAUUGCCUUGUAAAACAAAUGGAAACUAAAGGAGAACAAAUAUCCAAGCUGAAAAAGCAUCAGGCUACUGAUAAAUAGACUCACUUGAGAACUUCACUUCUACAGGAAACAAAACAAAACUCAGUGUGAGACCUUACGAAAGGGGGAGGUGAUAGUUAAUUUAAAUCUGGCCAAUUUUAUUCACGUUCAUUCUUUGAUAGAUUUUACUCACUCAAACCUUUUAUUGUCCACAUAAUUGCAAGCACAAAGGUGCUUAUGUCAAAGUAGAAUUCUCAGAGUUGCAUUGGCAAUAUGGACAAAGGACAUUGACUGUUGAGUCCUCACUGCCUCUCUUGGCAAUGUCAACUGUUUUUUGGAUAAAUCUCUUAUAUUCUUGAGGAGCCAACAAUUACAGUGUUAUUCCUUGCCUCGCAAUCUUGCUGACUUCAUCCUCCAGGAACCUUAGACAAUGGACAACAACUGCACCUUUGUUUCUUCCUUUUGCAUAUCUGUAUGGCUACAGUCUGCCUUCAUUUUGGGAUGAUGAGAAGAGGAAUAGCACAUACAACGUGGUGCAACCUUGUUGUCAUCCUUGCCUAUUAUCAGGCUGCAGAUCUGCUGGCAAGUCAUCUGUGCUCUGGUACAGCCUUAUCGGAGCACACGCCUUAGGGUCAUGAUGUGCAGAAAUUAAAGAGAAAAACUCAGAAAUUGAAGCAAGGGGCAGCUCAU